AUACUUACCUGGUAGGGGGAGAUGCCAUGAUCACGAAGGUGGUUUUCCCAGAGCAAGGCUUAUCCAUUGCAUUACGGAUAUGCUGACCCCUACAAUUUCCCCAAAUGUGGGAAACUUGACCAUGUAAUUUGUGGUAGUGGGGGAUUGCAUUUGCACUCUCCCC
rnacentral:snRNA from 1 species